rnacentral:rRNA from 1 species
CCUACGGGAGGCAGCAGUGGGGAAUAUUGGACAAUGGGGGCAACCCUGAUCCAGCCAUGCCGCGUGUGUGAAGAAGGCCCUCGGGUUGUAAAGCACUUUCAGUGAGGAAGAACGCCUGGUGGUUAAUACCCAUCAGGAAAGACAUCACUCACAGAAGAAGCACCGGCUAACUCCGUGCCAGCAGCCGCGGUAAUACGCAGGGUGCGAGCGUUAAUCGGAAUUACUGGGCGUAAAGCGCGCGUAGGUGGCUUGAUAAGCCGGUUGUGAAAGCCCCGGGCUCAACCUGGGAACGGCAUCCGGAACUGUCAAGCUAGAGUGCAGGAGAGGAAGGUAGAAUUCCCGGUGUAGCGGUGAAAUGCGUAGAGAUCGGGAGGAAUACCAGUGGCGAAGGCGGCCUUCUGGACUGACACUGACACUGAGGUGCGAAAGCGUGGGUAGCAAACAGGAUUAGAUACCCCGGUAGUC